AUUUAAUAUAACAUAAAUGUUGUAUAAGUCUAUUUAUGACUUCUUUAGGAUUACCUACUUAUGAGAUUAAAUAUUUAGCACAGACAACUUGUUUGUAGUAUUACUUGAUAGAUAUAAUAUAAAUAUAGGUAUUAAAACUAAUUGAUACAAAAUAUGUACGAUUUAAUUUCAGGUUUAGAAUCAAUAUGAAAAAAAAUAAUAUAAAGUGAUACAGUACUAAAAGUUAGAAUUACCGUUUAGAACAUCAUAUGAGUGUAAUCCCGUUAUUAAAUCUUUGAAAUCAGCGCUUUGGCAAGCAUUGAUUUUUAUCAGCGAAUUAUCAUGAUUUGUAUAUAUAUUUUCAGAUAAAAUUAUUGUUUAGUUUACAGACUGACAUAAUGACGUCCGUAAAGUUAGCAUUGAUGGAAUUCAGCAUUGACCGACAUAAUUAAUGAAUGCUUGGAAUCUAAUCGAGUAACUAAUUAACAACAAAAAAAUAACAAAUUUAACACCACAAAUAAAUUUUGUUAUUUGAAUAAUGACCGAGAUACUGAUGGUCGAUGCUAGCUCGUCAGGCUCUAAUCACGUUGGUGCCUAAAAAUAACCAAGACAUCGACUGUAUAUGCAAAACAAUUGAAGAAGCUAGAGUAAAAAUGGGAGGCAAGUCAAUGACGUAGUCAUGGAUACAACGUCGCGGAUAUAAUGUUGCUGGAUUUCGUGACGUAUAACCGAUGAAAUGACCGUGAG